AGUUACCGGUACGAUAAUUCAAUGCUUAUGACAUACAUGCGAUAAGUGAUUAGUGUAUCACGUAUUGCUGUGGCGUAGCACGUGCCAAACAAACGCAGUUUACCUAACCUUCUCCAAUUAUAAUGCAAUUGCAAACAGAACUAAGUUUUCCUGCGCAAGCAUGUGGUUUGUUUACACCUCGUAGCUUCCACCCUGCUGCAACCAGCUUGUGAGAUGGAGUAUAGAAUUUUCUGUUCG
rnacentral:lncRNA from 1 species